CCCACCGUACUAACCUGAGCGGCAUGGAGCUGAGCCUGCUGAGAAGCCGUAUCUUCGCUCCACUCCGUCCAGUCUCCUCCCCAUGCCACUUCCGUCGGCCUCCCUCCAGAGCCUUCUUCCCGCCGCAGCCUCCUCCGCCAAGCCAAGAGGACAUGGGAUGCAGCAGGGCAAUGCGGACGCGGCAGGAGUGGGUGGGGGACUGGGUCCGGAGCAACGACACGCUCGUCCGCGGCCUUCCCAUUUUCAUCGGCGGCGUCUCGCUGCUCGCCGUCCUCCUCAACCGCGCCGUUUCCGGCAUCGCUGCCGUCUCUGACGCUUCCAGUUCGCAGUCGAGGGCUGACAUACUGACUCUCGCGCUCUCGGUAACAGACAUUCUCGCCGGCCUUGUUUGGUUGUCCAUCAGGCCGAAAUCCAUUUCUCCGGUGGUACCUCGAGGUGUCGAUUGUAAACGAGUAGAUCCGGAUGUAUCAACCUCUGCUCUUCAUGAACUACUUUGGGCAUGGGAUUCCUUGAUGGCUGCAACUUGUUGCAAAUCAUUGGUUGUUGUGUAUGGAGGUAAUUGCAUUCUUCAAAUUGGGGUUGCUGCUAGCACUCCAGAAGAUGGUAAAGCAGUUAAUGUGGAUGCACAAAAGUUCAUCCAAGGUUCCCUUUACACCAGUGCCAUUGAAUCCAAGAAACAAUCCUAUCUAGCAAAUCUUGCUUUAUAUCCUGGAAGGACCGAGUUGCCGUUUCUGCCAGCUAACACACAGGCUCUAAUACUUCAGCCAAUUGGUGAUAAAGGAAUUGCAGUCAUUGGUGGCGACACUAUAAGGGGCUUUACUAAUCUUGAUCAGGCAUGGAUUGCAAUGAUUGCAGAUAAGUUGGAUGCUACAUUGUCGAAAUCAUAAAAGGGCACCACUCAUUGGAUAUGAAGGUAUACCUAUGGAAGCUGAAACCGGAGUCCACGGAACGUGUACACCUAAACAUUACAGGGCCAAGGUAUGGUUGCUGAGAAGAAACCCGAUGAUGAUCAGUUCAGAAUGGUUGAAGCUUGUCCUGGAUGAAGGGAACAGCUCCACUUGAACUUGGAGGUAGCUGUCGCUGUUAAAGUGGACAUCGGACAACUCAACUGCACCGGCACGCAGGUUCAACUGUGUCCAGAGGCUCAUCUCCAAUUGCUGAAACAUAACGCUGUCCGACGAGUCCUUGAAAAGCGCAGCUCUGAAGAUCAUCUUGCCACUGUAUGCAAAGGCGCAGCCACAAUUCACAGGGUUCUGAUUCUGAUCACUAGGGCACCUAGUUGUCAAGGCACAUUUGUCCAUGCUAGUUCUGUAUGCUAUCACGUUUGGUUGCUGGACGCUGCAAAAUGGGCCACCGGACAAAGAUUCAUCGAAACACGCCGGAUUGUUGAGAAGCCUGUACACAGAUUUGAGGAAGGGGAAAAGCGAUGUCAGUGAUGAAUGGAGAAUAAAUUUUAUAACUAAGCAUUCUGUGAUGAGUUUGUAUGAUCUUACACCAGUGCCUUUUUGUAGUUUGGAGUGACAUUGGCAGAAAGUAUGCUGUUUGUAUUGAGAUCAACAGAUUGCAGCCGUUGGCUGAUGUUGCCUGACAUAUCAAGUGUCCCGCUGAGCUGGUUUUUGCUCAGUACACUGCAUAAAAAGGAUGAUUACUUUUUUUUU